UAGGUGAUGAGUCAUAAGGAAAGUUUUGUGAUUGUUAAACCAACCGUCGACAAUUGGUUCUUGUCAAGGAAGAAAUAUCCAGGAGUUUCUUAUUGCGAUAUGCCUUGCAUGACAACAUAUCAGCUACUCAAGAAAAUGAACGAAACUGUGUCAACACGAAGGCGAUGUCCGGACAACCUUGAGCAUUGAUUCAAUAAAAAUCGUAAGAAAAGGUGGAAAUGUUUGUAAGAUCUUGUCUGUGCACAAACAAACCCCAGACGAUACCUGUUGAACGUUCCCGAGGUCAAGGACGUCUACUGUGUGACGACUUGGCGUUCGCAUGCCAAAGACAUGACAGAACAAGGACGUCGGGCUUUGUAAGAAGGUUCUGCAGCGAGCCUCUCCUGUAAACCGGACUAAAGUGUGUGAUUUGGUACAUACUUUCCGAAUGACGUCAGUUCUAGAUGGAAACAGUUUUAAUCUUUUCUGUCGGAGCCCGGGCAAACUAAUAUUUCAUUAAAAUAUUAUCUGUUUAUAAGUAAUAGUCAAAGUCAUAAAUGAAAAUUUAUAUUUAUAUUCCAAGAAAAUGUGCUAUUUUAUAACCGUAUCAUUUUUAUUACAAUAAUUUGUAAUGAUAGUCGCAUAGUUGUUUUUAUACAAUUUUACGCUCUCACUUUGCCAAAAAUAUAUUAAUAAAAAGUAUAAGAAGUGCAUUAACGAUUUUUAAAUCCCAUGUUCUGUGCCUACAUUGUCGUUUAUGAGAUUUUUCAAAGCGGGAGCCUUCCAGUUAGUGGCAAAAAUAGUUCUUCGAAUUCAAGUAACGAUCGAUCAAACUCACUCGAAAACCACCAAUGACGCAGCAAAGUCGACUGCUGACAGAGUUAUCGGACCGUGCCAAAUACUAAUAUUUUACGUUCUUAUGAUGAAUGGUCAAACGAUGACUAUACACUGUUUUCGUGGUUAUUGGCGCUUAAUGUAUCGUAUGCAAGGCGGAAAACUACGACAAGGACAAAAUCAAAAUGUAAAAAAGCUCACUUAAAUGAAAUUGAGUGCUCUCUUUUAGUAACUUAACGAUUUUCCAUCUUUACAUACUUAU